UAAGCAUAAUGACUGUUGUCUGAACUCCAGAAGCUUCAUCAUCUUCUCAUGGUCAUCUUUGUUUCUCCGUGAAUAUUUUCUGUCCUAACAUUGUUUUGAUUUUACUAUAUUCAGAGCUUAUUUAGAGCCUAAUAUGCAAAAUGAUUUUCGGAGAUAGUUUGUUUGCUGUUACAAAUUAGAUUCCGUGUUAUGUCGUUUCUCAGCUCCAAAAUGGUGAGCUAUAUUAGAGAUCUUGUCUCGACCGAUGAAAAAAAUAAGUCAUUUUGGAUUUAGGAUCUUCAAUUUCUCAAUGAACUGUGAGCUCUCUUUUUCCUCCACCUCGAUUUAUUGCGAUUAACUGCGAUUAGGACAAUAAAUGUAUUGAUUUCUUGUUGUGUAGCUUUUUAUAUCGGUUUUGUGAGUUUGUAUUGGUGUGUAGUGUUUACAUAAGCAUCUUGGUUUGGAGAUUUUUUCUUGGUUUUGAGUAUUUCAAAGUGGGUUCUUCGGUGCUUCCGAAUAAUUACUUAAUUACUAUAGCUUCACAUAGCAUUGAAAUCAUACAAGAUAGCUAUCGUGUUACACCACAUAGCGAAGUAAAAUGUUUUCUUCUUUUUUGAACAAUAUUGUCCCUUAUGAAUGAAGUAAAGGGAAGGUAAGAAUAUUAGUUUGUCACUAGCCGAACACCAUGGUUACCAAUGAAGAUAAGGUUUUUCAAUUAGAAAAUAGAGACGCGUUAGAGGUUGAUUAUGGAUAGAAAACCUCGAUAUAGUAAUAAAAUUUGGAAGGAAUUAGACUUCUCCACAACAAGAAAAUUCUUCAUUGUAAGCCAAACUUUUUAUGAAAAGAAGAAGACGCUUAUCAAUAUCUAGAAUAUAGAUAAAAGACUUACAAAGUUUUGAAAGUGUAUUUAUGAAGGAUACAUUAACGAUAACUACGCCUCAAUCUCAAGAUAGAUGGGGAUACGGUGUCGGUUGUAUGAAUUGUCACUAUCUGUGUCACUCCAUUUAGAUAUAAUUUUUAUGGAUAUAAUAAUGAAUUCAAUGUUGGACUUGCUUACAACAGAAAGGAAAUCUAUCGGAGUAUUUAACUUUGAUAAGCUGACAUCUUAAUAAUGCAGGACGGAAGGAAAACAACAAAGUUUUACUUGUAAAAAUAUACUCCCUCUGUUUCAAAAUUUGUUUUUCUAACUUUCCUCUUUAGUCCAUUUCAAAAGAAAUAUCUCUCUUCUUUUUGGCAAGUCUUUAAUUCCAAUUUUUCACAUAGCAUGUUUAAGACCACGAGAUUAAAGGACAUUCUGAUACAUUAUACAUAUAUACUUUCUUAAACUCUUUGUCAAGUCAAGACCAGACGAACAAACUGAAAAUGGAGGGAGUAUUAACUAAGGAAACAGCGUAAUGGGAAUUUGAUAUGACCAUAUGUCCUUUUAGUUUAUAUUUGGUAAGUAUUUAGUAUAACAAUUUUGACAGAUAAUUUUUAGCUAUUUCAAUAUUUGAGGUUCUUGUAUUUCAAUUAUUUGCUACCCAAGUCUCAGCCAUUUCCUUGGUUUAUUGAUUCUAGAUAUAUGUGUUUUUUCCAGAGAAAGCAAAGUUUGGUGUUAAGAUGAUAAAAACUUAUACAAAAUCCUUGGAAACAAAAAAAAGUCUAUAAAGCAAUUCUGGUUGUACAACAAAAGUUGAAUCCCUAUGCUCAUAAAUCGAUAAAUAAAGUAUUCCUUUAGAUCAUCACCAUAUCCAGGACAAGACUCAUUGCAGCGGGUUAUAAUUUUUGGAUACAUAGGAAAGGUAGCUUCAAUUAUUAAUUACUAAAAGUCUAAUAAUCCAUUUGUCUGUUCUUUUUGGAUGUAGUAUCAAAAUCAAAAGCAUGUUUUAUUAUAAAAAUAAUUUUAUAAAUGAACUUGUAAUUUCAGGGUUUGGGGCUUCAGAUUGUAAGGUUUGUGGGUUCUGUCUCACUUUCAUUGUUUUGCUUGCCUUUUACUUUCUGAAGAUCCUAUUCUUUUCCAUCUUUUUCAAGUAGAGUGUGCUUCGAACGGGACACAACUUACAUCUUUUUAACAAGAAAUAUAGACGUAUCCCCAGAGAACUAUGGUCGAUAUUGGGGUUUGCUGAUUCACAGGUGAUUGAAAAUAAUUGUUCUAUGUGUACUUCAAGUUGUUCUUGCAGUCUUCUAUAUGAUUUAUCCUUAUACUAAUAUAGUUGAACAUAGACAGAGAGGUGUCUUCAUAGCUUCAUUGCUGAUGUCAAGAAAAAGUUAAUAGACAUAUUUAUCCUAUGAGUAUGUUAUGAGCUCGUUGUGUCAGUAGUCCUCAUUGAGAUGUUGUUGCUUCAGUUUUACAAAGUUAAAUUCAUUUAGUUUGAGUAGAGCAUUCUAGGCGCAUAGAAAGGGUGGUAUUUUCACGACCAUUUCUUUUUUUGCAAUAACUUUUUCAUUUCAUAAUAAAUUCAGCUGCUUUUAUUUUAUCCAAAGAAGUUUCAAGUUAAUUGUAAAAGCAAAUAAGACUGCAGUAAAAGGCAUCAACAUGAAAGAAAAAGAGUGAUGUCAGUAGUAUGAGACAUAGAACUUAUAUAGCUAUACAAAAAUUAUCCAUCAUCACUUUGUCACAAUAGCUCAAUCUAAUGUAAUUGUGCAUCUCCUUAACCUGUGAAUAUGAAUAUUUGAGGUGAGUUAGUAAUAAUAAAUUAGGAUGUGUAAAAAAUAUUUUGUAUCAGGUAAUUUGAUGUGUUGUAUCUUACCUAAUAUCUCUUUGUAGACGAUGUAUUUGGUGUAUGUUCUUUUUUUUUCUCUUUGGUUGCUCUGUCAUGACCAAAACCUUUGUUGUUGACAUUGAUAUUCCUCUUGAGAGUGCAAUGUAUAGCUAUCUACGUACAAAAAUAUGUUGUGGCAAGUACAAUCCAACAAUUGGUAUUGUAUGUCCCUGUGCUUUGUUAAUCAUUAUUGAAAAGCAUAAUCGCACUGGAAAUUAUUUUCUAAUAAACUGGAAUGGGUAUCCUCAUUUUCGGGAGGCGAUAGCUGGAUUCGUGGGAUAAACACAUGCUUGGAAGCAUUUUACACAAUCAUUAUUUCUGCAUGUAUGACGUUUUUUUCAAAAUCUCUACAUAUCAUUCUUGUGCCAUUACAUAAGCCAUUGAAAGCAUCCAAAUUUCUUAAUAACAUAAUAGGCACAUUUUUUUUCAAAAUUAAUCUGCAAAUCAAUAAAAUGUUAUAAGAAUGAUAACGUGAAGAAUUUUAAUAAUAAGUUCCAACCAAAUAUUAUAAAAUAAGGUGCAGGCACACUCUAGCUCAUAUUCAAUAUCAGGUUCGUGCUAGAAAAAUCAGGAUGUAAGAGGAGAAUCAGGUGCUCCAGAGGCAGCUCCAAUAGAAGCAUGAGUUCACUUUCUUGUACACACAACUAAAGACAUUUGAUGCUAAGUAGAUAAAAAAAGUGAUGGAAAGAUAGAUCAAGAUGAGUGGAAGGAGUUUGUUUCAAAGAAUCUGUCUAUUCUAAAGAUUAUGACCCUUCCAUAUUUGAAGUUAUAACAUCAAGCUGUAUUACAUUAAAUGAGCAACACUUUUCCAAAUUUUGAGUGCUGAUCCUUAUGGAUACAACAAUACAGGAUAUGCUGCUUACUAUAAUGACUAUCAACAACAAUCUAAUCAAUCCUAUCCUCAGCCAUCGGGAGCCUUUUGAAAUACAGGAUAUAAUGCUUCUGCUAAUGAGUGGUAGGACUAUGCACGAUAUGUGAAUUCAGAUGGAAUUGAUAUGUCUCUAAGUUAUUCUGCUUGAACUCUUGCUACAACGUUUGGGGUGUUAAAUUUUUUUCCCCGGAAUUGGAAUUUGGUACCAUGGUUUUUUUGGGUUGCUGUUCAGACUUUCUUUCUAGCUCGAGUAACUAUUGAUUUUUGUCUAUGUUUGUGGUUUUGAUUUGGUCAAAAUACAGGGAGUUUAUGGGGACAACGGGUUACUUAUGUAUCAUCAUAGAUAUGAAUAUUCACCCUUUAAUCUAUAGUCACCUGCUACUUCGCCUGUCCCUUCUUUGGGGCGGAUGUCCAA